rnacentral:rRNA from 1 species
AACGAACGCUGGCGGCAGGCUUAACACAUGCAAGUCGAGCGCCCCGCAAGGGGAGCGGCAGACGGGUGAGUAACGCGUGGGAACGUACCCUUUGCUACGGAAUAACUCCGGGAAACUGGAACUAAUACCGUAUGUGCCCUUCGGGGGAAAGAUUGUAUCGGCAAGGGAUCGGCCCGCGUUGGAUUAGCUAGUUGGUGGGGUAAUGGCCCACCAAGGCGACGAUCCAUAGCUGGUCUGAGAGGAUGAUCAGCCACACUGGGACUGAGACACGGCCCAGACUCCUACGGGAGGCAGCAGUGGGGAAUAUUGGACAAUGGGCCCAAGCCUGAUCCAGCCAUGCCGCGUGAGUGAUGAAGGCCCUAGGGUUGUAAAGCUCUUUCACCGGUGAAGAUAAUGACGGUAACCGGAGAAGAAGCACCGGCCAACUACGUGCCAGCCGCCGCCGUAACAC